CGGGACGGGUGAGUAAUGUCUGGGAAACUGCCUGAUGGAGGGGGAUAACUACUGGAAACGGUAGCUAAUACCGCAUAACGUCUUCGGACCAAAGUGGGGGACCUUCGGGCCUCACGCCAUCGGAUGUGCCCAGAUGGGAUUAGCUAGUAGGUGGGGUAAUGGCUCACCUAGGCGACGAUCCCUAGCUGGUCUGAGAGGAUGACCAGCCACACUGGAACUGAGACACGGUCCAG
rnacentral:rRNA from 1 species